rnacentral:rRNA from 1 species
UAGGGAAUCUUCCACAAUGGACGCAAGUCUGAUGGAGCAACGCCGCGUGAGUGAAGAAGGUCUUCGGAUCGUAAAGCUCUGUUGUUGGCGAAGAAGGAUAGAGGCAGUAACUGGUCUUUAUUUGACGGUAAUCAACCAGAAAGUCACGGCUAACUACGUGCCAGCAGCCGCGGUAAUACGUAGGUGGCAAGCGUUGUCCGGAUUUAUUGGGCGUAAAGCGAGCGCAGGCGGAAUGAUAAGUCUGAUGUGAAAGCCCACGGCUCAACCGUGGAACUGCAUCGGAAACUGUCAUUCUUGAGUGCAGAAGAGGAGAGUGGAACUCCAUGUGUAGCGGUGGAAUGCGUAGAUAUAUGGAAGAACACCAGUGGCGAAGGCGGCUCUCUGGUCUGCAAACUGACGCUGAGGCUCGAAAAGCAUGGGUAGCGAACAGGAUUAGAUACCCUGGUAGUCCAUGCCGUAAAACGAUGAGCGCUAGGUGUUGGGGACUUUCCGGUUCUCAGUGCCGCAGCAAACGCAUUAAAGCGCUCCGCCUGGGGAGUACGACCGC